ensembl:snoRNA
UGGACCAAUGAUGACACCUGCCGGCAUGAGCAUCGCGGAUGAUGACUGCUACCUGAACUCUGAGGUCCAG